rnacentral:lncRNA from 1 species
AUGCCAGCAAAUUUGGAAAACUCAGCAUGGUCACAGGACUGGAAAAGGUCAGUUUUCAUCCCAAUCGCAAAGAAAGGCAAUGCCAAAGAGUGCUCAGGCUACCGCACAAUUGCACUCAUCUCACAUGCUAUUAAAGUAAUGCUCAAAAUUCUCCAAGCCAGGCUUCAGCAAUACAUGAACCGUGAACUUCCAGAUGUUCAAGCUGGUUUUAGAAAAGGCAGAGGAACCAGAGAUCAAGUUGCCUACAUCCGCUGGAUCAUCGAAAAAGCAAGAGAGUUCCAGAAAAACAUCUAUUUCUGUUUUAUUGACUAUGCCAAAGCCUUUGACUGUGUGGAUCACCAUAAACUGUGGGAAAUUCUGAAAGAGAUGGGAAUAUCAGACCACCUGACCUGUCUCUUGAGAAACCUAUAUGCAGGUCAGGAAGCAACAGUUAGAACUGGACAUGGAACAACAGACUGGUUCCCAAUAGGAAAAGGAGUACGUCAAGGCUGUAUAUUGUCACCCUGCUUAUUUAACUUAUACACAGAGUACAUCAUGAGAAACGCUGGGCUGGAAGAAGCACAAGCUGGAAUCAAGAUUGCCGGGAGAAAUAUCAAUAACCUCAGAUAUGCAGAUGACACCACCGUUAUGGCAGAAAGUGAAGAGGAUCUAAAAAGCCUCUUGAUGAAAGUGAAAGUGGAGAGUGAAAAAGUUGACUUAAAGCUCAACAUUCAGAAAACAAAGAUCAUGGCGUCUGGUCCCAUCACUUCACAGCAGAUAGAUGAGGAAACAGUGGAAACAGUGUCAGACUUUAUUUUGGGGGGCUCCAAAAUCACUGCAGAUGGUGAAUGCAGCCAUGAAAUUAAAAGACACUUACUCCUUGGAAGGAAAGUUAUGACCAACCUAGAUAAGAUAUUCAAAAGCAGAGACAUUACUUUGCCAACAAAGGUCCAUCUAGUCAAGGCUAUGGUUUUUCCUGUGGUCAUGUAUGGAUGUGAGAGAUGGACUGUGGAGAAAGCUGAGUGCUGA